GAUGUCCAGUGGACCCUUGCCCAGUGAGCUGAAGUCCUCUGGAAGGGCUUGCUCCUGCAAACAUGUGACUUUUCAGAACCUAUUCCUACAGGGUUCUCUUUGCUUUUCUCCUGUGAAUUCCAUCAUUUAUGCGGAUGCAGGAAGCCUUGGCACCUCCUUGCCGGUGGUCAUCACGGCUGCUUUAAGAAGGGGUCACAGGCCUGUUUGUACAAUAAAAGCCCGGCUCCCCUAGCCCCUACGCGACUGCAAGGAAGAGACCUUGCUGCCGGGAGGGAGGCUGCCCCUGCUCAGAAACUGCAAACCUCACUGUUUCUCGGGAGUCCUGACAGCAGCUCGAGCAGAGAAGACAGGAAUCGAGCAGGAACUUGACGAAGAUCCACUGGCGUCGUGACUGCUCCCAGCUCAGGGAAAAGCUGUUCCUGGCUGCUGGCUGCCUGAACGCAGACUUCACACUCCUGCCCUGGGCGCCCACGGGGAACAGGAAAAACCCCAGCUGACAGGCUCCAAGCACAGCAGAAUGUGGCCCGGUCCCUGAGCACUGCCCGGGCCCUCGUCAGUCCUGCUCAGAGCUAUUUUAGCAGCUGCCCAGGAGGACCGUCUUCUGACUGGCGUCUUCAGAAGUGGGAUGAGGUCCAUUAUUAUUGCAAUAGCCUAUUUUAGUAGCGAGAAAGGAUGAAAGGGCAAGCUGCCCCCCAUCGGCCACUCCCGCUGGUCUUUACCGAACCAGGAACUAGCUCGCUCCAAAUGUGGCCGUACAGGUGCGCGACGAGGCACAGGUCUGCGCCAGAAAGGAGACCAGCACGGGGCUGAUGAGCAUUGCACGGGGUCUGCAGACCCGUCCAGCACGUGCCAGAGCCCUCAGGGAAC